rnacentral:misc_RNA from 1 species
UCCUUCUUAUCGAAGGCAGUUUUCGAAGAGUGCAUCCCUUGCGGGAUUAGCAACAUCGAAUGGGGGUUGCGCUCGUUGCGGGACUUAACCCAACACCUCACGGCACGAGCUGACGACAGCCAUGCAGCACCUGAACCGGCAGUCCCCGAAGGGAAGGUCCUAUUUCUAGGACUGUCCGCCGUUGUCUAGCCCAGGUAAGGUUCUUCGCGUUGCGUCGAAUUGAACCACAUGCUCCACCGCUUGUGCGGGCCCCCGUCAAUCCCUUUGAGUUUUAAUCUUGCGACCGUACUCCCCAGGCGGAUGACUUCACGCGUUAGCUGCGGCACGGAUCCCGUUGGUUGAGACCCACACCUAGUGCCCAACGUUUACGGCGUGGACUAC